AUUGAACGCUAGCGGGAUGCCUUACACAUGCAAGUCGAACGGAGUGGCGAACGGGUGAGUAAUGUAUCGGAACGUGCCCAGUAGCGGGGGAUACCUACGCGAAAGCGUAGCUAAUACCGCAUACUAAUUGAGCGGCCGCUCUUGGAUUAGCUAGUUGGUGGGGGAACGGCUCACCAAGGCGAAGAUCCGGAGCCGGUUUGAGAGGACGACCAGCCACACUGGGACUGAGACACGGACCAGACUCCUACGGGAGGCAGCAGUGGGGAAUUUUGGACAAUGGGGGAAAGCCUGAUCCAGCCAUCCCGCGUGUGCGAUGAAGGCCUUCGGGUUGUAAAGCACGUUUGGCAGGAAAGCGGUACCUGCAGAAUAAGCACCGGCUAACUACGUGCCAGCAGCCGCGGUAAUAC
rnacentral:rRNA from 1 species